rnacentral:tRNA from 1 species
GAGGGUAUAGCGCAGUGGUAGAGUGCAUGCCUAGCAUACAUGAGGUCCUGGGUUCAAUUCCCAGCACCUCCA